rnacentral:ncRNA from 1 species
GUCCCAAGGGUUGGGCUGUUCGCCCAUUAAAGUGGUACGUGAGUUGGGUUCAGAACGUCGUGAGACAGUUCGGUCUCUAUCUGCCAUGGGCGCAGGAAAUUUGAGGAUGAUCUAUCCCUAGUACGAGAGGACCGGGAUGGACGAACCUCUAGUGAACCAGUUGUUUUGCCAAAAGCAUCGCUGGGUAGCUAUGUUCGGAAUGGAUAACCGCUGAAAGCAUCUAAGUGGGAAACCAACUCCAAGAUAAAAUUUCCCUGGGACUUCGGUCCCCUAAAGACCCCUUGUAGACUACAAGGUUGAUAGGCUGGGUGUGUACAUGUCGUAAGACAUUGAGCUAACCAGUACUAAUCGGUCGUGAGGCUUUAUUUU